rnacentral:rRNA from 1 species
GAUGAACGCUGGCGGCGUGCCUAAUACAUGCAAGUCGAGCGAACAGAUGAGGAGCUUGCUCCUCUGACGUUAGCGGCGGACGGGUGAGUAACACGUGGAUAACCUACCUAUAAGACUGGGAUAACUUCGGGAAACCGGAGCUAAUACCGGAUAAUAUAUUGAACCGCAUGGUUCAAUAGUGAAAGACGGUUUUGCUGUCACUUAUAGAUGGAUCCGCGCCGCAUUAGCUAGUUGGUAAGGUAACGGCUUACCAAGGCAACGAUGCGUAGCCGACCUGAGAGGGUGAUCGGCCACACUGGAACUGAGACACGGUCCAGACUCCUACGGGAGGCAGCAGUAGGGAAUCUUCCGCAAUGGGCGAAAGCUUGACGGAGCAACGCCGCGUGAGUGAUGAAGGUCUUUGGAUCGUAAAACUCUGUUAUUAGGGAAGAACAAAUGUGUAAGUAACUAUGCACGUCUUGACGGUACCUAAUCAGAAAGCCACGGCUAACUACGUG